rnacentral:rRNA from 1 species
UACGUAGGGUGCAAACGUUGUUCGGAAUUACUGGGCGUAAAGCGCGUGUAGGCGGCAGGGUGUGUCGGAUGUGAAAUCCCGUGGCUCAACCACGGAAGUGCACCCGAAACUACCCAGCUCGAGUCUCGGAGAGGAAGGUGGAAUGCUUGGUGUAGAGGUGAAAUUCGUAGAUAUCAAGCGGAACACCGGUGGCGAAGGCGGCCUUCUGGACGAUGACUAACGCUGAGACGCGAAAGCGUGGGGAGCAAACAGG